UCGAGAAUCUUUCACAAUGGGGGCAACCCUGAUGGAGCGACGCCGCGUGGAGGAUAAGGUCUUCGGAUUGUAAACUCCUGUCAUGCGAGAACAAGGUUGUAGAGUUAAUAGCUUUGCAAAUUGAUGGUACCGCAAGAGGAAGAGACGGCUAACUCUGUGCCAGCAGCCGCGGUAAUACAGAGGUCUCAAGCGUUGUUCGGAAUCACUGGGCGUAAAGGGUGCGUAGGUGGCAAUUCAAGUCAUCUGUGAAAUCUCCGGGCUUAACUCGGAACGGUCAGAUGAUACUGCUUUGCUAGAGUGCAGAAGGGGCAAUCGGAAUUCUUGGUGUAGCGGUGAAAUGCGUAGAUAUCAAGAGGAACACCUGAGGUGAAGACGGGUUGCUGGGCUGACACUGACGCUGAGGCGCGAAAGCCAGGGGAGCAAACGGGAUUAGAUACCCCCGUAGUCCCUGAGCGGGCUGGCAAGGCGCAU
rnacentral:rRNA from 1 species